GUCGAACGCUUCUUUUUCCACCGGAGCUUGCUCCACCGGAAAAAGAGGAGUGGCGAACGGGUGAGUAACACGUGGGUAACCUGCCCAUCAGAAGGGGAUAACACUUGGAAACAGGUGCUAAUACCGUAUAACAAUCAAAACCGCAUGGUUUUGAUUUGAAAGGCGCUUUCGGGUGUCGCUGAUGGAUGGACCCGCGGUGCAUUAGCUAGUUGGUGAGGUAACGGCUCACCAAGGCCACGAUGCAUAGCCGACCUGAGAGGGUGAUCGGCCACAUUGGGACUGAGACACGGCCCAAACUCCUACGGGAGGCAGCAGUAGGGAAUCUUCGGCAAUGGACGAAAGUCUGACCGAGCAACGCCGCGUGAGUGAAGAAGGUUUUCGGAUCGUAAAACUCUGUUGUUAGAGAAGAACAAGGAUGAGAGUAACUGUUCAUCCCUUGACGGUAUCUAACCAGUAAGCCACGGCUAACUACGUGCCAGCAGCCGCGGUAAUACGUAGGUGGCAAGCGUUGUCCGGAUUUAUUGGGCGUAAAGCGAGCGCAGGCGGUUUCUUAAGUCUGAUGUGAAAGCCCCCGGCUCAACCGGGGAGGGUCAUUGGAAACUGGGAGACUUGAGUGCAGAAGAGGAGAGUGGAAUUCCAUGUGUAGCGGUGAAAUGCGUAGAUAUAUGGAGG
rnacentral:rRNA from 1 species